GAAACGCGAUAGUUAAUGUGAAUUGCAGAAUUCAGUGAAUCAUCGAGUCUUUGAACGCACAUUGCGCCCAUUGGUAUUCCGUUGGGCAUGUCUGUUUGAGCGUCAUUACAAUAGUUCAGCGUAAGCUGGUUAUGAGUUCUGUUUUUUAACAAAAACAGGCUUUAAAAAUGUAUGUUCUGCAGGUCGCUUUGCUAACCCCUAAACAUUAAAUACUGUUCUAGUGGAGCAUUUGCGAUUCUGCCUGAAAAAAAACAUUUUUUAUUAAAGUUUGACCUCAGAUCAGACAAGGAUACCCGCUGAACUUAA
rnacentral:misc_RNA from 1 species